rnacentral:rRNA from 1 species
AGCGAACGUUAGCGGCGGGCCUAACACAUGCAAGUCGCGCGAGAAAGGGACUUCGGGUCCUGAGUACAGCGGCGGACGGGUGAGUAACACGUAGGUAACCUGCCCUUUAGUGGGGGACAACGGGUCCGAAAGGACCGCUAAUACCGCAUAAGUUCCUCGGGACUUUGGUCCUGGGGAGGAAAGCCUCGCAAGGGGCGCUGAAGGAGGGGCCUGCGUCGCAUCAGCUAGUUGGUGGGGUAAUGGCCUACCGAAGGCGAAGACGCGUAGCUGGUCUGAGAGGAUGAUCAGCCACACUGGGACUGAGACACGGCCCAGACUCCUACGGGAGGCAGCA